rnacentral:rRNA from 1 species
AUGGAGCUAAAGCAUAGUUGUGGAAAGCAUGCUCACAUUAAGCGCAUGUGGGAGAAUAGAGAAUACUUUGUUCCUGCUUAUUUCCAAGGAGUGUUCUGCCCGUUCAUUAGGUCUACCAGCAGAAGUGAGAGCUUCAACUCGAAUUUCAAGGACUAUGUUUUGCGAAAGGAUACAAUAGAAACUUUCCUUCGUCAGUAUGAAUUAUUCCAGGAAAAUGUGAUGCACAUAGAGGAUCAAGAUAGGUUCUUGUCUAAUGAAGAAGUACCUAUCAUGUGGGGAUAUCAGCGGGUUGAGCGUCAUGCAGCUGAAAUUUACACCAGAGCUAUAUAUACCAAGUUCUUGACUGAAAUGUUUAAUUCAACUGCUUUCGGGGUUAAUGAGAUUGUGAAGAACGAAUCAUAUGAAUUAAAAAGGAACUUUCCAUACGAAAAUCCAUAG